rnacentral:rRNA from 1 species
UGGGGAAUCUUGCACAAUGGGGGAAACCCUGAUGCAGCCAUGCCGCGUGGAGGAAGACACCCCUAUGGGGCGUAAACUCCUUUUCUGCGAGAAGAAACCCUCGUAGCUUCGAGGUGUGACGGUACCGCAGGAAUAAGGACCGGCUAACUCCGUGCCAGCAGCCGCGGUAAUACGGAGGGUCCAAGCGUUGUCCGGAAUCACUGGGCGUAAAGGAUGCGCAGGCGGGGCAGCAAGUCAGGGGUGAAAUCCUGCGGCUUAACCGCAGAAGUGCCCUUGAAACUGUUGCUCUUGAGUCCUGGAGAGGCUGCCGGAAUUCGUGGUGUAGCGGUGAAAUGCGUAGAUAUCACGAGGAACACCAGAGGCGAAAGCGGGCAGCUGGACAGGUACUGACGCUGAGGCAUGAGAGCGUGGGGAGCAAACA